rnacentral:rRNA from 2 species
UGAGGAAUAUUGGUCAAUGGACGGAAGUCUGAACCAGCCAUGCCGCGUGGAGGAAGAAGGUCCUAUGGGUUGUAAACUCCUUUUGCUCCAGAGUAAUAAGGCCCCUGCGGGGGUCGAUGAGAGUAUGGGGCGAAUAAGCAUCGGCUAACUCCGUGCCAGCAGCCGCGGUAAUACGGAGGAUGCAAGCGUUAUCCGGAUUUAUUGGGUUUAAAGGGUGCGCAGGCGGACUGUUAAGUCAGCGGUGAAAUCUCAUGGCUCAACCAUGGAACUGCCGUUGAUACUGGCAGACUAGAGUACGGACGGCGCCGGCGGAAUGUGUCAUGUAGCGGUGAAAUGCUUAGAUAUGCCACAGAACACCGAUCGCGAAGGCAGCUGGCGAGGCCGGGACUGACGCUCAGGCACGAAAGCGUGGGGAUCAAACAGG